rnacentral:rRNA from 2 species
UUUAACCAUAAAGCCACGGGUAACUACUUGCCAACAGCCGCGGUAAUACGUAGGUGGCAAGCGUUGUCCGGAUUUAUUGGGCGUAAAGCGAGCGCACGCGGUUUUGUAAGUCUGCUGUGAAAGCCCCCAGCUCAACUGAGGAAGUGCAGUGGAAACUACAAAACUUGAGUACAGAAGAGGAAAGAGGAACUCCAUGUGUAGCGGUGAAAUGCGUAGAUAUAUGGAAGAACACCAGUGGGGAAGGCGGCUUUCUGGUCUGUUACUGACGCUGAGGCUCGAAAGCAUGGGUAACGAACAGGAUUAGAUACCCUGGUAGUCCAUGCCGUAAACGAUGAAUACUAGGUGUUGGAGGGUUUCCGCCCUUCAGUGCCGCAGCUAACGCAUUAAGUAUUCCGCCUGGGGAGUACGACCGCAAGGUUGAAACUCAAAGGAAUUGACGGGAGCCCGCACAAGUGGUGGAGCAUGUGGUUUAAUUCAAUGCUACGCNAANAACCUUACAAGCUCUUGA